rnacentral:rRNA from 1 species
GGGGAAUCUUCCGCAAUGGGCGCAAGCCUGACGGAGCAACGCCGCGUGGGUGAAGAAGGCCUUCGGGUUGUAAAGCCCUGUCUUAUGGGAAGAAGUCAGUGACGGUACCAUAGGAGGAAGCCACGGCUAACUGCGUGCCAGCAGCCGCGGUAAUACGUAGGUGGCGAGCGUUGUCCGGAAUUACUGGGCGUAAAGGGCGCGCAGGCGGGUUUUUAAGUCAGAUGUGUAAUCUACAGGCUCAACCUGUAGUUUGGAUCUGAUACUGGAAAUCUUGAGUGCAGGAGAGGACAGUGGAAUUCCUAGUGUAGCGGUGAAAUGCGUAGAUAUUAGGAGGAACACCAGUGGCGAAGGCGGCUGUCUGGCCUGCAACUGACGCUGAGGCGCGAAAGCGUGGGUAGCGAAC